AAAGUGAUAUAAACUCAUAUUUAUUUGAAACUUGCUUCAUUUAUUUGUACUCAAACUUUAUUUCUAAAAGCUUUCGUGUUGAGGGGGCAAAAGUGAUACCUGGGAAAAUUUAAACCUGAGUAUGCAUUGCUCUGCCAUUGCGUUCCAGAUUUGGCAUUAAGAUUUAAUUAAUUAUUUUUUACCACACAUGAAAACAAGCAUGAUUGUUUUUCUCUUUGAAAAUACACAUUAUGUAUUUAUAGAAAUAACAGUACAGUACGUGUCAAUUGAGAAACGCUUAACGUUUCGUCUUAUGAAAUGUUACGUGCGUCUGUCCAAGCAACGCCUCCUAGGAGGCAUUGGUGCAAGUGGUCUGCCCCCAGCGCACCUCUGGUUUUGUUGUGAAGUCGAGUCAGCGAAGCCUGACGGUGCGUCUGGCUAGCUUCGUUAUCUUUUUGUAGUCGAUUUAUAACGAGUUUAGGCAUGGCGUGCUUGUGAAAAAACAUGAACUCGGUGUAAUAUUCUGCACUAGCAUGAGACUCUACAUUUAUUCCCAGCGAUGAGUAAACGACACCUCAUUUAAACUGUCAAAUACGACUUGUAAAGAUUCAAUGUCGUGGCAAACUUAAGAUCUACUGGCCUUAACCAUUUUGGAACAACAAUGAUGCUGCUUCAGUGCUUUUCAUCGCACCCCACUGCCCGUGCUGCACGAAAAACGAAACUAAAACUGUGGAAAAAAGUCUGUGAACAGUUCGCUAGCUAACCCUAUUCAUACCGAAGCCUGUACUUCCCAUAAUUCCCAUGGAGGUACUCAAUAUUAGCGCCAGAUUUCUCUCUAGGUAUUAUUUUAUGAAACUCUAUGGUUCGAGGUAAUCAAUCAAAAUUCAUUUGUAAGCAACCUGCUCAACUGUGUAACUUACAAUUUUGCACAAGUGACUGAAGUUUACAAGGGAAUGUAUGCAGUGAAUUUCAGUGAGAUCCAUACACGUAAAAAAAAGUCAUCAGAGCUAACAUUCAAGUAAGCAUAUAAAGUUCGUCCUAUAAAGCCUUCAAGCAAAUCAGCCCUUGUUUUGUGCAAGAAGCACCUCCCCAUCUGUUUUAACGUAUUGUUAUGUUAAAGAAUUUGAGUGUGCUGUAAUGUGGCUUACGACUGACAGUGUUAUUCUCACGUAACAAUAUCACUAGUGCACAUAAGGAAUUUCAGCACUGACAAAUUCUUCGUUUAUGCAAGCACAUUUUCUUGUGAAAGCCCUUCAACAACAACGUUCCUCCUUAACCUUGAGCUCGUCCUGCUCAUUUAAUUUUCUUUUGUAUACUCUAAUUAUAUGCCCUCUUGUAUUUAAUGUUUCAACCUUCCCAAAGUGGCCAAUGCACUCUGCUAAGGGAUUUCCCCUCCGCCCCCACCACCUGUACUUGUGCAGGUCUUCCUGAAAGCCCUGGUGCCCUUUCUCUGGGCACGCACAGGCGCUGCCAGCUGCUGCAGUGUAAUUACUGCCCAUUUGUGAGCCGCUUUGAGAGUGCCAUCCGCAGGCACCAGCUACGGCACACCAAGGAGAGGCCCCACCGGUGCGAGUUCUGCCCAAAGAGCUUCCAGCGCAGGUAUCAGCUGACUCAGCACAUGGCGAUCCGUCAUGGCACCAAGCCGCUACCAAUUACUCGGCAAAAGGUGCAAGACUUUGGUGACCACAUGGCCUCGCUCGAUCCCGCUAAUGACUUGUCUGAAUUCAAGUGGAUAUGAAUGUAAACAUGUUCCAAUUCUAAAGGAGGGCGCAAAGAAAUCGACCGAGCCGUGAGGUGUUCCAGACGGGCGGUUGUCAAGUCUUCCAAGGUUUUGAAAUGCCGGUGAAUCCUUGAAUUCUGACUGUGAGACCUAGUGCAUUUGAUGUUCCAAGAAGCUUUGUACGAAGCUCAUUAAUGUAAAUACAUUGGGCUUGUACAGAGCUCGUAGGUGUACAUACAUUGGGCUCCGUCCAUACUGAAUAAAAAGUCUUUUCGUUGAAAGCUUUGUUAAAGCACAAAGCAUUGCAGCUGGCAAUGCUGAUUUGGUUUUAGUUUGGAUAGUGCGAAAUAGGGUCAAAUUUGGCUCUACUUAAUUUCUCACUGCACAAUGUGUGUGCGUGUGCACGAAAGGCUACCAAUAACUCUCUGCAGUCACAGUGUUUAUAAGUGCUCACAAUCGUGGCUUACUUUGCAUCAGGUUGGUUCUUCACCAUGCUCUAAACUGAGUAAUAACCGAGCCAUUAUUAUAACUCUCACUUCAGUCACUUUUGCACGAUUAACAGAGUUCGCUGUCUUUUCUUACCUUGUCAAGCACGAGUGGUUUGAUAAGUGGCUACUUGACUACCACUUAGAACACUCCAUGGAGUGCAUACAGUUGUUGAAAAGCUGAGCAAAUAAAUGCCAAAGGGUAGCUCGUUAUCGUAACAUAACAGUAUUUUUGUCAAACAAAGUUCCUUGAACAUAUAAGGUUGACUACUUAGACUAUUAGGUAGACUGCUGCUGUUUUCACAUGCUGCAACAUCCAGCAAAGAUUGAGGUAGUUUCGAUGCCAGACAUGUUCACAGAGUACCUGUAUGUGACUAACCAGAAAUCAAUAGGUUUUUGAAAUUAUUUGAAUGCUUUGAAUUAAAUUUAAGUUAUUAUAAAUUUUCAAGUAUUUGAAACGAACGAAUAGAUGAUUAUUAAGCUGUGUGGAAUCCCUGUAAAGGUGGUUUAAUUGCAGUGGAGGGGUGCUUACCCAUGAAAGCACCUAGCCAGAUGUCUAUAUUUAGUCGGCAUGUAAUUUUCUGUAAACGUGGUAUUCACUCCUUGCAAUAUAUUUUCACGAUGUUAAGCCAUGAAAAUGUAGUCUAGGGAGAAUCUGCACUGGCACGAAGCUCCUCUUCAAGGUUAAAUGAAGCGAUCACCCUGACAUCGAUUUAUUUUACAAGUUUAAAAACUUGUUCUACUGACUUAUAUGCUUUAAGUAUAGCAAAUUUUAAAACAUAACAUACUUUAUAGGUUAUCAGCUUGUAUUCUACCAGAAGUCAUGUAUCCUGCUACAAUUCAAAGUUGCCUCCACUUUCUUUGAUGUAAAAAUAAUGACAAUUACACAGGCCUUGUUUCAGUUUCAAAACUUAUUGUGCAUAUUAUUUAAGUGGAUACUUUAAAUUAAGUGGAUACUUUAAAUUAAGUGGAACUAAAAAUAUGUCAAUAUUUCUUUAUUAUAUAAUAUGCAAUAUGUGUAAUGCUUGAUUCGAAUUUAUUUGGCCAAAAUCAGUAUUUGCUUAGAACUUGAAAUGCACUAUUUGCACGAGCCUAAAUCAUUGUCAACAUUCUUUUUUUUCUUUUCAAGCAAACUGGAACUGAUAGUAGCCUGCUGUAUGCAGUAGGGUAAAUACUGCUGAAAAGUGCAUUUCACAAAAAGUUGCCGCUUUGCCUGAAGGCAAGAUAUCGAUAAGCGUCUAACAGUCAUAAAAAGAGCUAGAUUUAUCGUCCCUGUACAUGGCAGUGAGCAUUUAUGCACAAGUUAAUUCACUCACUAUGGUGUGAAUAUGUGCACAGGCAAACAUGAGCACAUUUCAUCUUACAACUGUGAACUUUGAUUUUCAUAUUGCUCGCACGGUGAGCCGUGCUAACAGAGGUGAGCAGAAAGUUGCAGCAUUAGAUGUGUAGAGGGAUGCUGUAAGAGAAGAGGCUUGCAUGAGGCCCUCAGGUUGCUCAACCCUUGGAACGAGCAUAGAUUACAAUCGGAUUGGGUGGGCACGCAUUAGAAGAACAUUUUUUUCGGAAAGCCUUUGCUAAAGUAGGGGGCAUCAUCAUUUACAUCAUUGACAUCGUUUAAUGCUGGGCUGACUGAAAGAGGUACUCACGCGUCCAGCCCCCCACACCGCCCCGUCCCUGUCAAGACUGCAUGCUCUUUCUCAUGCUUUCUCUCAACUCUGUAUAGUUGGCGCAUGUGAGAUGCAGUGAAGUCUGUUUCACACUUUGACUGUAGCCUUGUAGUUACGCCAUACGUACAUGGCAUAUCACUCAGAUUUAAAAAGGUUGUGGCCAGGAUUAAUGCCAAACUGGUCUGUUCUGCACUCAGCACGCUCACAGGUCGUGCUGAGUGCAGAACAGGGUUGUGCUGAAAGAGGGGUGUGCUGCUUGGCACAAAAAGGAGGAUUUGCAACAUAAAACAUGUCAAGAAAUACUGCACGUGUAACACAUGUGCAGUGUAUUGCAGUACCUUUAAGUUGUGACAAGUUUUGCAUUGGACUAGUCUGGUUGAUGUAUCAAUGAUCAGUUGAGGGAACAUGAAAAUAUUCUAUUUUCAGGCACUGGCGUAACUUGCAUUUGUAUUGCAAGUUGUUUGGUUGAACGCCCCUGUUUGAUAAGGUUACAAUUUUAGGUAAGGCUAAGAUGCAGCGAGAAACGAGAAAUUGUUAGGCAUUCCAUAUCUGGAAACUUCAUCCAAACAAAUGUGUUAGUGCAGCUUCAGUUUUUCUCACCAGGAAAGAAUGUUUCUUUCUAGCACAGAGGUGUUCUGCUUAGAUUAGCUUGUUUUUUUAUGCCUUGUUUUUUUUGUUAUCUCCACAUGUGCUGUACGGACCUGGGAGGAAGGGUUUUUUUUCUAAAUAAACGUCAUUUGUUAGUGCCACA